rnacentral:rRNA from 1 species
AGAGUUUGAUCAUGGCUCAGGAUGAACGCUAGCGGCAGGCUUAAUACAUGCAAGUCGAGGGGCAGCACGGUUAGCAAUAACUGGUGGCGACCGGCGCACGGGUGCGUAACACGUAUACAAUCUACCUUAAACAGGGGGAUAGCCUUUCGAAAGAGAGAUUAAUACCCCGUAAUAAAUUGAACGGCAUCGUUUGAUUUUGAAAGCUCCGGCGGUUUGAGAUGAGUAUGCGUCUGAUUAGCUAGUUGGUGAGGUAACGGCUCACCAAGGCGACGAUCAGUAGGGGAUCUGAGAGGACUAACCCCCACACUGGUACUGAGACACGGACCAGACUCCUACGGGAGGCAGCAGUAAGGAAUAUUGGUCAAUGGAGGCAACUCUGAACCAGCCAUGCCGCGUGCAGGAUGACGGCCCUAUGGGUUGUAAACUGCUUUUAUACAAGAGAAAACCCUGGUACGUGUACCAGGUUGAUAGUAUUGUAAGAAUAAGCAUCGGCUAACUUCGUG